rnacentral:rRNA from 1 species
CCUACGGGCGGCAGCAGUGGGGAAUAUUGGUCAAUGGGCGCAAGCCUGAACCAGCCAAGUAGCGUGAAGGAUGACUGCCCUACGGGUUGUAAACUUCUUUUAUAAAGGAAUAAAGUGAGGCACGUGUGCCUUAUUGUAUGUACUUUAUGAAUACGGAUCGGCUAACUCCGUGCAAGCAGCCGCGGUAAUACGGAGGAUCCGGGCGUUAUCCGGAUUUAUUGGGUUUAAAGGGAGCGUAGAUGGGUUGUUAAGUCAGUUGUGAAAGUUUGCGGCUCAACCGUAAAAUUGCAAUUGAUACUGGCAGCCUUGAGUACAGUAGAGGUAGGCGGAAUUCGUGGUGUAGCGGUGAAAUGCUUAGAUAUCACGAAGAACUCCGAUUGCGAAGGCAGCCUACUAAACUGCCACUGACAUUGAUGCUCGAAAGUGUGGGUAUCAAACAGGAUUAGAUACCCCGGUAGUC